rnacentral:rRNA from 1 species
CCUACGGGUCGCACCAGUGGGGAAUGUUGCACAAUGGGCGCAAGCCUGAUGCAGCCAUGCCGCGUGUAUGAAGAAGGCCCUAGGGUUGUAAAGUACUUUCAGUCGGGAGGAAGGCGUUGAUGCUAAUAUCAUCAACGAUUGACGUUACCGACAGAAGAAGCACCGGCUAACUCCGUGCCAGCAGCCGCGGUGAUACGGAGGGUGCAAGCGUUAAUCGGAACUACUGGGCGUUAAGCGCACGCAGGCGGUUGAUUAAGUUAGAUGUGAAAUCCCCGGGCUUAACCUGGGAAUGGCAUCUAAGACUGGUCAGCUAGAGUCUUGUAGAGGGGGGUAGAAUUCCAUGUGUAGCGGUGAAAUGCGUGGAGAUGUGGAGGAAUACCGGUGGCGAAGGCGGCCCCCUGGACAAAGACUGACGCUCAGGUGCGAAAGCGUGGGGAGCAAACAGGAUUAGAUACCCCAGUAGUC